rnacentral:rRNA from 1 species
GACGAACGCUGGCGGCGUGCCUAACACAUGCAAGUCGAGCGGGAAGCUUUGAAUUGAGACUUCGGUUGAUUUUCAAAGUGGAGAGCGGCGGACGGGUGAGUAACGCGUGAGUAACCUGCCCCAUAGACUGGGAUAACACAGUGAAAAUUGUGCUAAUACCGGAUGAAAUAGUAGGACCGCAUGGUUUAACUAUCAAAGAUUUAUCGCUAUGGGAUGGACUCGCGUCUGAUUAGCUAGUUGGUAAGGUAACGGCUUACCAAGGCAACGAUCAGUAGCCGAACUGAGAGGUUGAUCGGCCACAUUGGGACUGAGACACGGCCCAGACUCCUACGGGAGGCAGCAGUGGGGAAUAUUGCGCAAUGGGGGGCAACCCUGACGCAGCAACGCCGCGUGAAGGAAGAAGGUUUUCGGAUCGUAAACUUUUGUCUCGAGGGACGAUAAUGACGGUACCUUGGGAGAAGCCACGGCUAACUACGUG